rnacentral:lncRNA from 1 species
ACAAAGUCAUAAAUUGGAGUAGGAAAGUUCGCUGAGAUGGCAAGCAGCUACCUCACAAUCCUCCACAAGAUGCCUUGGAAACGAAAAGAAUGACAGGUAUCACGAAGAUCCAGGCUCAUAUCCUACAAAAAUUUGUAGAAGCAAGGGGUGAGUACCAAACCACGCGGUACCCAACAAGCAAACCUCUAAACACAAGUUAAGUGAACAAAAUACGAGUACUCCUUACACCCUAUCUAAACCUCCACGCUACAGCCUAACAGUUUACCAAACAAACCACUCAAUAACCACACUCUAUCAGUUUACACAUUCUCAAUAACAACUCAAUAUUCAACAAUCACAAACUUCACAGAGAAACAGUCACAAGAUCAGCAAAACACAUGUUCAAGUUCAUCAAUAAUAAAAUGUGCAAUGCCAUGAGAUGCAAUGUCAAAUAUCGUGAUGCAUGUCUUUCUUAACGAUACACACCCGCUGUCUCUCAGUCCAGGACCCAUGGGGGACAUAUCUGUCCAUGCAUCUGUCGCGGCGCACGACACAACCCUCGAUAAAUAGUAACCUUCGUGGCGCGCGAUACGUCCCUCGAAAUAUAAUAUCCAUCGCGGCGCGCGAUACGACCCUCGAAAAUAGUACAUCAUCCUCUUACCACAACCAUGUCUCAGAUACAAUGCAAAUGACAUGCUCAAAUUAAAAGGAGGAAAUAACCAUUUGAUAACAAAGCACAAUUUACAACAAGAAAUACAACACCAACAAAUAAACAACAAGUCUCCAAAUCAUUCUCAACAUCACACAAGGAAAUACACGAAUUUCGUACGCUUAACAAGAGUUUAGAAAU